CUGAAAAGCACCCACUUCACUGCUCAGCAAUGGGCCAGGAGCUAUUUUCAGUUCCUCAAUACUGUCAGCAGGGCACUACAGUUUUUUGCAGAGGCACAUUGAAACAUCGUUGUUUCAGGUGAGGGAGUAAGAUUCACAUAGAGAGGGUUGGUGGAUGACUUAAGACGAUGGGCAAGGCAAACGUGAGCAAGGGAGGAUAAAGGCCCAAGAGGCUCUUCAGCAUUAUUAGUAGCUCACAGUACAUAAUCCAGAGGCAUGUACUUAUUUAUUCUUCCACUCACAGCAUCCUGCUGUCGUAGAAGCAAAGAAAACAGUGAAAAAAGAAGAAAGAUGCCUCCCACACACCAGGCAGUGGUACAAAAAUAAGAACUGCGGACACAUCAACUUUGACUUCCUUUUAAGAAAGACAUCUCAAGUGGAACAGCCCUGUCAGUGUAGCAUCUGACUACAGAUGCUGUUUAAAAAAACGAUGCUGCCAUCUGCUUGCCCAAUGUGUAAUAUACAAAAAAAAUGUACAUUGC